AUCCUGAUGAGUCUACGUUGGUGAAGUGUGAGCCUCCCAUUCUCCUUGCCAGUGAUUGGCUUACAGGUUCCCUUCAAAUUAAGUCAUCUCUUCUUCAAGGCUCAGUCAUAUAAAUUUCAAAGGACACGUGGCCAUGCUCCAUACCAGCUGCUCUGAGAACCAGUCCUGGAUGGCAUCAGUUGGGGAAAGGUUUGAAGGAGGUUUAACAACCUCAAGAAACUCAGACAAUCAUCCAGUGCCUCGCCCAGCAGGAAAGUGCUGAAGCGGGUGGGGUGACUGGUCACCA
rnacentral:lncRNA from 10 species